UGGGGAGGGUGGGAUUUAACCCACUUAAGCAAAUUUACAGCCUGCCGCCUAAUUCGGCCACCUAACC
rnacentral:tRNA from 1 species